rnacentral:rRNA from 1 species
AGUGAACGCUGGCGGUAGGCCUAACACAUGCAAGUCGAACGGCAGCACAGGAGAGCUUGCUCUCUGGGUGGCGAGUGGCGGACGGGUGAGGAAUACAUCGGAAUCUGCCCAGUCGUGGGGGAUAACGUAGGGAAACUUACACUAAUACCGCAUACGACCUUCGGGUGAAAGAGGGGGAUCGCAAGACCUCUCGCGAUUGGAUGAGCCGAUGUCGGAUUAGCUAGUUGGCGGGGUAAUGGCCCACCAAGGCGACGAUCCGUAGCUGGUCUGAGAGGAUGAUCAGCCACACUGGAACUGAGACACGGUCCAGACUCCUACGGGAGGCAGCAGUGGGGAAUAUUGGACAAUGGGCGCAAGCCUGAUCCAGCCAUACCGCGUGGGUGAAGAAGGCCUUCGGGUUGUAAAGCCCUUUUGUUGGGAAAGAAAUCUUUCAGGCUAAUACCCUGGGAGGAUGACGGUACCCAAAGAAUAAGCACCGGCUAACUUCGUG